CGCUUCUCAAGAAAGAGAGGGGCAGUCGGUCUGUACAUGCGUGAGGUGGCGAGAGGCGUGUCCAGGGGGCGGCUAGUAGCGUGUGCCACCGUGGAAAUAUGUACAGACAUAAAGAAGACGCCCUCAAGAAAGGCCUGAGUCCAGACCGAGACCCAGAGAAAUGUAAACAAACGCACCAGUCAGACUUGAUAUAGGAGUGAAUUUGUUGCUUUUUAAAGCGGCAGUCGGUCUGUACAUGUGUGAGGUGGCGAGGGGUGUCGCCAGGGGGCGGCUAGUAGCGUCUGCCACCAGGGAAAUAUGUAAAAACAUAAAAAAGACGCUUCUCAAGAAAGAGAGGGGCAGUCGGUCUGUACAUGCGUGAGGUGGCGAGAGGCGUGUCCAGGGGGCGGCUAGUAGCGUGUGCCACCGUGGAAAUAUGUACAGACAUAAAGAAGACGCCCUCAAGAAAGGCCUGAGUCCAGACCGAGACCCAGAGAAAUGUAAACAAACGCACCAGUCAGACUUGAUAUAGGAGUGAAUUUGUUGCUUUUUAAAGCGGCAGUCGGUCUGUACAUGUGUGAGGUGGCGAGGGGUGUCGCCAGGGGGCGGCUAGUAGCGUCUGCCACCAGGGAAAUAUGUAAAAACAUAAAAAAGACGCUUCUCAAGAAAGAGAGGGGCAGUCGGUCUGUACAUGCGUGAGGUGGCGAGAGGCGUGUCCAGGGGGCGGCUAGUAGCGUGUGCCACCGUGGAAAUAUGUACAGACAUAAAGAAGACGCCCUCAAGAAAGGCCUGAGUCCAGACCGAGACCCAGAGAAAUGUAAACAAACGCACCAGUCAGACUUGAUAUAGGAGUGAAUUUGUUGCUUUUUAAAGCGGCAGUCGGUCUGUACAUGUGUGAGGUGGCGAGGGGUGUCGCCAGGGGGCGGCUAGUAGCGUCUGCCACCAGGGAAAUAUGUAAAAACAUAAAAAAGACGCUUCUCAAGAAAGAGAGGGGCAGUCGGUCUGUACAUGCGUGAGGUGGCGAGAGGCGUGUCCAGGGGGCGGCUAGUAGCGUGUGCCACCGUGGAAAUAUGUACAGACAUAAAGAAGACGCCCUCAAGAAAGGCCUGAGUCCAGACCGAGACCCAGAGAAAUGUAAACAAACGCACCAGUCAGACUUGAUAUAGGAGUGAAUUUGUUGCUUUUUAAAGCGGCAGUCGGUCUGUACAUGUGUGAGGUGGCGAGGGGUGUCGCCAGGGGGCGGCUAGUAGCGUCUGCCACCAGGGAAAUAUGUAAAAACAUAAAAAAGACGCUUCUCAAGAAAGAGAGGGGCAGUCGGUCUGUACAUGCGUGAGGUGGCGAGAGGCGUGUCCAGGGGACGGCUAGUAGCGUGUGCCACCGUGGAAAUAUGUACAGACAAAGAAGACGCCCUCAAGAAAGAUGUGGUGAAGACAGUGUUAUGCACCACCACACCACCAUUACACUUCCUGUCUUGCUUGGUGAAUGAACAGAGCACCACUAACAUCACAUCAUUGCAUCACCACAUCACCACACCACCACCUCCUGUCCUGCCCCAGUGAAAUAGAACAUCACCACCACAUCACCACAUCAAGAGUCAGUGAUUGCCUGCAGCCAGCCCUAGCCUGACCCGCCAGACAUGUGUCCCAGGCCUUCCCCUAGCCUGUAGAGCCAUGUAAGCCUGCAGGUCAAGGUCAGGUAAAAAAAAAAACAGGCCGUAACGUAAAAGAUCAAGACAUUUACGAAGACUGUCUUUGAUGGGCUCAGGUCCUCCGUGCAGACCACCAACAAGCAAGAGAUUGACGAAAUACAGGUUGUGAAGACGCUGCAAGCUGAUGCCUUCAGAGAUCGCGAAGGUCCUCACCUUGUUGUAGGAGAGCUGACAACAUGUACCAGCCAGCAGCAACUCCCAUGCUAACAGGCUUCUCCCCCGCGGGUAUGUAGCACCUCUGGAGUCGCUCGAUGAAGAAGAGGAUGCUGGCGAGGCCUGUCGUGUUAGCCGGGAUGCGCCGGUACAGAGCUGUGUCCGUUGGGGUUGUGUAGGCAAGCAUCUUCUUGGCAAGGUCCUCGUAGGUGGCCGCAAACAGUUUACGGCUGUGGGAUGAGAACUUGUCUUGUGAAUGUGACGUUGGGAGGAGGGAAGCACAGGGGAAGAGGAGGACGAGGAGGAAGAGAGUUAAGAGUCACAAGAGGAGGAGGAAGGUGGAAAGAAAGAGGAAGGAGAGGAGGAGGAGGAGGAGGAGGAAGAUGGAGAAGGAAAGGAGAAAGAUAAGAAGGAAGGAAAUGCCGCAGAAGGAGAAGAGCAAUAAGAAAUUAGAAUUGACAGAGAAACCAGACAAGGGACUGCAUUUGAAGAAGCACAAGAACCAAGAAAUUACAUCAUUCAAUGAAAUGACAACAUAAUCUAAAAUAGAAAUCAAAAACGUCACAAGACAGAAUAGUGAGCUGCAUGCACUUAUCACAGAGUAUAAAGUCACUCCCUCAGAGGAAAAAGACAAGGAUGGCAUGUCUUCAUGUGAGAACUCAGAAGCUAAAUGUACAGAUACCAAGGGGAAAUUGCUGGGUCAAGUGGCUACACUGACAUCUGAGGUUAGCAGGUUGGAGAGUGAGUGCAGCAGUCUUCAGGUUCAGCUAGACUGUGAGAGGGAUAAGUAUAACAAACUGCUGGGAGAAUCUCUUGCUCAUGAAAAGUUGUCUGAAGAUGUCAUAACUGAACCAAAAGGAGAAACAACAGGAUUGGGAGGAACUGAGCUUUAACAGAAGCUGCAACAACUGCAGGAGCCUCACAGGGUCCUGGAGAGCAGGUUAACUUGCAGCAUGAAGGAGGUGGCUGAGCUAAGUGACAGGAAGUAGCAGCUUAAGCAUGCUGUAGUGCAUGAGGAGACAGAGUCCAUCGGUGUAUGCAUGUUUUUUGCUCAUUUGAAUCAUCUGUAAAAGUGAAGUGGAGGAAGUGUUUACUGUUUACUGUAUGCCAUUUCCUUGGUCUUUUAAUGAAGAAUUUUAUCCUUCUUCAGGUGACUACAUCACCAUCUACCAGUUGCAGCGAGGAGUGAUGAAGCAACAAGCUCGAGAAACGCGAGUUAGACCUUGCCAGCCUCCAUCAUGAAUGAGAGGAAAUGAAGCAAAACCACUCUGCAGGUUAGUGCUCUCUUUUGCAUCUCACACACUUCUUAUUCAUGUCAUGGCAGAUUAGUGAUUUCUGCUGCAUCUCACACACUUCUUAUUCAAUUGCUGGCAGGUUAGUGAUCUCUGCUGCAUCUCACACACUUCUUAUUCAAUUGCUGGCAGGUUAGUGAUCUCUGCUGCAUCUCAAACGGUUCUUAUUCAGGUGUUGACCAAAGUACUAAGCCUUCAUAUCAUUACCUUGCUCUGUGAUGGAGGCUACACCAUCUGGCAUCUAGCUGAGAUUUAAUGUUGCAGUAAAGCUUCCAUAUGAGUUCAUGUAGAGCAAAAUGUUUUCAAAUGCCAGGGAAGUAGUGUAAUGUAACCUUCCAGAGAAAUCUAUCCCUCAUUUAUUAGUUAACAGGAGUGUUUAAUGUACUUAAUGUGAUUAGCCAGGAUCAAGGGUCAACUUCUUCACUGACCAUUUACUCUCAGGUGAUGUAUCUGUCCUCCAUGAGUCACCAGAGACACAUAAGGUGUUGUAAGUGAAAUUUCAUCUAUUAGAUUUAUUCAAAAUGUGAAUUAACACAGUUGUUUCCUGCAGGAUUUGAUAUCAAAGCUGGUGCAGGAAAAAGGAAGCAGAUCAUGACCUUCAGCAGCUCGAGAAGAUAAGCAGCGUCCUUAAGAGUCCAGUUGCUAUCUUUAGCAGUGUUGGAACCAGUGAGUCUGAGACACCCACCAGCAGUGGAAAGCUGGCUGACGAGCGCCUCAAGCACUCUGAAAAGGUGGAGCAACAACAAGAAACAGAAAAUUGCAUCCAUCAUUCUUUGCCUGAGGAGGGAAUUGAUGCUCUGUUGACCCUUCACACUGAUGUCCCUCAUGAGGAGGCAGAAUAUGAAUCCUACAGAACUUGCCCAUAGAAAGACCAAAACUGUUACUGCUGCCACACUGCCACCACUUCCACUGACACCAAAAGCCCAACUGUGCAGAGAAUCCUGGACCUCCGCAAUGAAAUGGAGUCCACCAGUCACCUGGAGCACUUUAGCCUCCAAAAGUUCCAUCCGUGUCCAUUGUGUUUGGGUAAACUUAUCACUGUAUAAGGGGACAAGUAUCAGUGUAUGGUUACUAUAUACUCAUUUGUACUUAAAGAUGUCAUGUCACAUCAUUCUCUCUCUCUCUCUCUCUCUCUCUCUCUCUCUCUCUCUCUCUCUCUCUCUCUCUCUCUCUCUCUCUCUCUCUCUCUCUCUCUCUCUCUCUCUCUCUCUCUCUCUCUCUCUCUCUCUCUCUCUCUCUCUCUCUCUCUCUCUCUCUCUCUCUCUCUCUCUCUCUCUCUCUCUCUCUCUCUCUCUCUCUCUCUCUCUCUCUCUCUCUCUCUCUCUCUCUCUUUCUUUCUUUCUUUCUUUCUUUCUUUCUUUCUUUUUGCAUAUUUUACUGCUUUACAUUCCUCCCCACAGUAUUUUUUCAUCUACUUUAUGACUGCAGUAGUUUUAUCAUCCCAGUGUAUGCCGUAUCCACUCUGAAACUGUAAUUCACCAAUCAGCUCAAAUGUGUCUCUGUUUUGAUAAUCAUUAAUUUGUUUCAGCUACACAACCACUCUGAUAAGGGACAAAAUCUACUUCACCAGUCAUCUAUGUCAUACAGUCAUAUAUAUUCAUACAUAUGACAAAAUACUCUUCCUAAGACAUUUCUUAUUUUCUCUUCUCAAGUGACCUGUCCAUCUAUCUAAGGUACCACAUAACAUUUAAAACUUACAAUAUUGCAUUUAAUUCAUGAACAUUUUUUUGUCUAUGUAGACUUGAAAUUGUAUUGGUUCCUGUGGAUGAGUGGGCCAUGCUGUGCUUUGUCAAGGAUGGUGUUUGGUAUUGUGAUGACUCUUGCCACAAUCAAGUGUCUCCCACAGAGUAGUGGAGUACCUAUGUAUGGUGUUGACCCAAGCUGUCCAGGUCUCAUCCAAUGCCUUAAUAUGAUUUAGAUGAUCAAAAUGGUUUAACUCACCAUUUAAUCAGCUGACUGAUUUGAAUGGAGAAGUAUGUAAUGUGUUGUAGCCUAACCAUCCCUGCCAGCAUGGUCAGAUUCUUGGUAGUAACCUGAAAUGCUCCUAGGUAGUGAGUAUCAUUGCACAUAAUGAUCUUUACUUUGUCAGUAAUUCAAUGAUACUGAAUAUUACUCUACUGGAUUUUGCUCACCACUGCUUGGUAACUUUUGGCCAUAAUCCCAGGUCUGGAAUGAUAUGAAGCCAUGUUUUUACAUUCCAUAUGAGACAGGCAAGCACUAUGCUUUGCCUGACUGAUACCUGUACUAUACAUUUAUGACCCCAGGUAGUUCAUCACUCUCUCUCUCUCUCUCUCUCUCUCUCUCUCUCUCUCUCUCUGUUUGGAAUUAUACUGUAUAUUAGGAAAUAUCAUUAAAGAGUGUGUGUGUAAAAAGUGUUUGCAUUAUUGUGCAUUUGAUGUUAUAGCCCCAGGUUCUUAAAGUUUUCUAGUUUCAUGAUUUAUAAAGAUUGCUAUUUUUAAUAAAGUUAUUGAAAUUGUUA